GUCGCAGUAUCUCCACUGUGGUGCGGCAUAUGUCACACUUGGCAUUGGACAGCCUGAAAGAAUGAGAGAGCACUCGCAUUUUCAGGCAGGCUUUCAGUGAGGCCUGUCGUACCCAUAGGAGCAGAACUACCACAAGUAGGCUUUGGAGUCUGAUGAAAUAGCGCUGGCCCGAGUCCUGGCUGGAGAACCACAGGGGCUGGAUUUGCCCUCAGUGCCUCUGCCCCGUCUCCUCCUCUCCCAGGCUGAAGAAAAAUUUGUACUAUUUUAGUGGGGAAAUCUCGACAGGGCCCGCCAUGGCAUGCGGUGUCUUGCAGCAAACUUUUAAGCCCUGGACCCAGCCAAUGUCCUGUUAAGCGAGAUAAAAGGGUUAAUGCCAUCAGAAGACACACAACCUGCCCAAUGUCCCC
rnacentral:lncRNA from 1 species